UAUUGGGAACUGCUGGGCGGGGUGGGGGCGGGCGGGGUGGUCGCUGGAGACGUUUGUGGCCGGUUUCUUUGGGUUCUGUUUUGCGAUGUCUCUCAAUCCUGAUUCCUCCAGGUAGCCAGUUCGCCAAUUUCGGAAACGCACCUAUGUUCCAGCACUUUGUUUAUGCCCCAUCUCUAACGAGUAUCUCUUCCUCAAGAUCACAGAACUUCUGGAAGGGUCUGCAGGGAUGCAGCUUGGAGAAGGCUAUGACUUCCUGUCCUGUCAGAAUGGGACAAAAGAGAGGCCAGGAAUGGCAAUGACUUGCCAUAGAAUCAGAACUGUGAAUGCUGACAGCCACUGGAAAAAGACAUGAUGUGAACAAUGAAUACAGAAUGUAACUCCUGCUCCAAAGGAACUAAGAGAGAAUUUAUUCUGAGACAGAUACAAAUGAUCACAGCCUGAGCAUGGAUUCAGAUUGCCAUAAUAGGCAUAUUCAUUCUACCAUGGGAGAGGUUUCAUGAACUUAUAUAGCCACAGAACAAAGGAAAACCAUAAACUGGUGAAUUUAUUCAUAUAUCAAUAGAAACAUCAGAUAGACAGGUUACAUCAAAGCCAGAAAAUCUAUAGGUUUCAGAUACUGAUAUGUUUUUAGCUAUGAAAUUAGUGGAAGUUAUUUAUCUGCUAGGUUUGUAAUAUACCAAAAGGGUUACCCUAAUAGUUGAAGAAGUUAGGUUAUAUCCGAAGCUGGUAACUAAUAGCUACUAAAGGAGCUAAAGCCAGGUGUGGCUUAUGCCCGUAAUCCCACCACUUGGGACAGUACAGCCAUAGGAUCAUGAGUUCUUGAGUUCCCACUCAGUCCAGGUUACUACUGAGUGAAAGCCUGAUUCAAAAGAGAGAAGGGGCGAAAAUAAUAUAAUUUUUACCCCCAAUCUGCAGUGUUCCAUCUUUCUUUAGUCACAGUGUUUUAAUCAGGCAAUCAGUCUGCAGGAUCUUCAACACAGAUACGACUUUUUUUCAGGGAACCUCACAUCACAGAACUGUAGAUUUCACUAGAAUGUACCAAUUAUCUCCAGAAAGAAAUAGAAACAAUAACAUGGAUUUUGCCUGUGUCUUAAUAUCUGUGACAAUAGAUAUGUAGGUAUGAGUGAAAAAACAGACCUUAACUUUGUUGAAGAGGAAGAAACUCAGAAGCCUAGUUUUUAGGGGCACCAUCCUCACUGAUAGUGAAGUCUGAGAAGAAAAAUGUUGAGAAUCUGUUAGGAGAUAAGCACACUAGAGACAAACAUACAGACACUCUUAGAGCCAAAACCAAAGUUUUUAUUGUUGCCCAGUGGCUUCAUGGAGAACUUUCUCAAAUCAUGUAGCUUUGACCCUUACAGUUCUUUGUCCUUUAUGUACAAAAAAAAAAAUAUAUUGGUUGGCACAUUUCAGUUAUCAAGGAGCAGAGCUACAGAAACCAAAAAGCAAGAUUAGCAUAUUUAGAGGGGACUUUCCUAGAACUAUGGACUAUGUCUUUGUUUCCAUUUUGGCAGGUGUUUGGGGCCUAUAUGCUGGGUUUUAAGGGCAGAAUGGUGUCUCUAACAUGGCAUUAGUCAGUGAUAAAGUCUGGGGGCAUAUUAAAAGCCAGGUGCUAAAAAUCCUUAAGGGACCCUAUGACAUGGUCAAGGGAAAUAUAAAGAAGCAUGUGAAAUAAAUACAUAAAAAAGAA